AGCAUGGUAGGUAGCAAUACUUAUUGAUGGCGACCGGCGCACGGGUGAGUAACGCGUAUGCAACUUACCUAUCAGAGGGGGAUAGCCCGGCGAAAGUCGGAUUAAUACUCCAUAAAACAGGGGUCCCGCAUGGGACUAUUUGUUAAAGAUUCAUCGCUGAUAGAUAGGCAUGCGUUCCAUUAGGCAGUUGGCGGGGUAACGGCCCACCAAACCGACGAUGGAUAGGGGUUCUGAGAGGAAGGUCCCCCACAUUGGUACUGAGACACGGACCAAACUCCUACGGGAGGCAGCAGUGAGGAAUAUUGGUCAAUGGCCGAGAGGCUGAACCAGCCAAGUCGCGUGAAGGAUGAAGGAUCUAUGGUUUGUAAACUUCUUUUAUAGGGGAAUAAAGUGUGGGACGUGUCCCAUUUUGUAUGUACCCUAUGAAUAAGCAUCGGCUAACUCCGUGCCAGCAGCCGCGGUAAUACGGAGGAUGCGAGCGUUAUCCGGAUUUAUUGGGUUUAAAGGGUGCGUAGGUGGUAAUUUAAGUCAGCGGUGAAAGUUUGUGGCUCAACCAUAAAAUUGCCGUUGAAACUGGGUUACUUGAGUGUGUCUGAGGUAGGCGGAAUGCGUGGUGUAGCGGUGAAAUGCAUAGAUAUCACGCAGAACUCCAAUUGCGAAGGCAGCUUACUAAACCAUAACUGACACUGAAGCACGA
rnacentral:rRNA from 1 species